UGUAGACAUAUUUUAGAGUGUAGAUUCACUCAUUUUGCUUUGUAUGUAGUUCCCUAGUGAAAUCUCUAAAAAGACUUAUAUUUAGAAACGGAGGGAGUACAUGUGUAGGUUGUUAAUCAGAGUAUGUCCGCGCGCGUGUCUGGCCUUUUGUCGUAUUCUUUAGAACUGUUAGUUUGCCCUAAGAAAAACAGCUGCUUCACAAAUAUCUCCAGUCCCUUCCUAUUCGAAACACAAGGGUGCCAUGUGAUGACAUGGGUAAGACAGCAAACAGGCCUAAAUCAAAGAAAAUAUAAUUAUGUGGAUUUCCAAAGGUGGN
rnacentral:lncRNA from 1 species